UUGCCUACCAUUGUCACUAUCAUCAUUUGAUUCGGAGCCAUUGGAAUGGUUUGGACUUUGUAAGUCAUUCAAAUGGGAAGGACUUUGCACAGGAUUAGGAUAAUGGAAAGAGGUAAUGUUUGGAUUUAUCGAAGUGUCUUCUAGAGGGAAUGAUCCAACCUGUCUUUGAUCAAAUAAAUUUAGUUGUUGGGGUAGUGGUGUCGCUAUUGUGUCGGCAUGUCCUUGCUUGAUUUGAUUUGCACUCUCAUUGUUGUAAAGCACCGGUUGCUUCUCUUGGGGCAAAUUUUUGAAAGUAGUUGGGCAAGGUAGCCAUGAAGUGCAUGCUCAAGUGUUGCUGACGUUUGAUCUGGACGAGAGUGACAUUCAAAAUGACCUUGAUCUAAUAGCAUUUCAUCAUA
rnacentral:lncRNA from 1 species